CCGUUAACGAACGAGACCUCGACCUGCUAAAUAGUUCGGCGAAUUCUUCGGGAUUCGUUCGAGCUUCUUGGAGGGACUAUCGGUGUGUAGCCGAUGGAAGUUCGAGGCAAUAACAGGUCUGUGAUGCCCUUAGAUGCCCUGGGCCGCACGCGCGCUACACUGAUACGUUCAUCGAGCUUACAACCUUGGUUGAGAGGCCUGGGUAAUCUUUAAAACCGUAUCGUGCUGGGGAUAGAUUAUUGUAAUUUUUAAUCUUCAACGAGGAAUUCCUAGUAAACGCGAGUCAUCAACUCGCAUUGAUUACGUCCCUGCCCUUUGUACACACCGCCCGUCGCUAAUACCGAUUGAAUGGUUG
rnacentral:rRNA from 1 species